ensembl:snRNA U6 U6 spliceosomal RNA
GCUUGCUUUGGCAACACACAUACUAAAUUUGGAACAAUACUAGAAGAUUAGCUUGGUCUCUUGCAAAAGGAUGACCCACACAUUCACAAAGUAUUCCAUACUUAU